ACAUUGGAUGACUGCAUGGCAGAAGCGGAGUUGUUUAGAAUGCCAUCAUCGCUACGAAGGCUAUUCGCGACGAUCUUGGUUUUUUGCGAGCCUAACGACGUACGCAGCCUCUGGAACAAACACCUUGAGGCAAUGUCAGAGGACUACAGCAGAAAUUGCAAAUGCAAACACACAGUCGAACAGAUGGUUCUAAAAAAUAUCAGAGACAUGUUGCACUUGAUGGGAAAAGACAUAGAAUCGUUUCCUCUUCCAAAAAUCGACCAACAGCAUGAGACGACAGAUGACAUACCGAGGGAGAUCACCGAGGAGACCUCCAUCGAGGUGGACCCCGAGGACACAACGUUGCAUAAAAACCUAAACUACGAGCAGAGAAAGGCAUACGACGAAAUCCUAGCGACAAUUGACAGCCAAAAAGGAGGUAUAUUCUUUGUGGAUGGACCUGGAGGCACAUGA
rnacentral:rRNA from 1 species